UUACUUUCCAGCCAUAUCGGGCAGAAAACUUUGACAAGCAAAGUAGUAGGAGUUCAUCCCUUCAAAUCAUAUGCUUUCCGCUCUUUUUCUGCCGCUCAAAGACUGCCAAACGUUAGAAAGACGCCUUUUUUGUCACCUUCUUUUCUUUUUUCGUCAAAUCACAGCUCCCAAACUAGCUAUAGCGACAAAUCAAACAUCACAAUCAUCUCGUCACCACAUGAUUCUAAUGUUGGAAAUUUCAUUAGCAAGCAAGCAAAUUUUAAGCAACCAAGAGGAAAAUGAAAAAUUUUAUACAAGCAACAGCGAGCUAAUGCAAUAUUGUUAGGAAUGGUAGCUGCCGGAGUUAUGGUGUCAUUGAUACCAGGGAUCGGCUCCACUUUGCCAUUAACGAAGAGCCCAUUUUUCAGGCGAUCGAGUACUAUCAGCCUCCGCUUCAUCAGCGAAAACACCAAGCGACUUGAGCAGCAGGGGCACGCCAUUCGCUGUAAUUUUAACCACCCUGGUUACCAGAUCCAAGAAGAAGGCCAGGUUGAUAGCCAUGAUUACAGAGUCUUCUUGCUUGAUAAUACUGGCAAAAAGUGUUUAUUACAUGUGCAGAUUUCGCCUUGGCAUGAUAUACCCCUACACGUUGGCAACGGCGUGUUCAAUUUUGUUGCUGAAAUUUCUAAAGAUUCAAACUUGAGAAUGGAGCUUGCCACCGAUGAACUAUACACCCCUCUCAAACAAGAUAAAAUAAGGGGUAGAAUUCGAUGCAAUAUGAAGUGGAAUUAUGGAUUGCUUCCUCAAACUUGGGAAGAUCCUUCAUCUGCAAAUCCAGAAGUUGAUGGCGCAUUUGGAGAUAAUGAUCCUGUUGAUGUUGUUGAGAUUGGGAGCACCUGUGCCAAGGUUGGUGAGGUUUUGAGAGUCAAGCCACUAGCUACUCUUGCACUGAUUGAUGAGGGUCAACUUGAUUGGAAAAUAAUAGCUGUUUCCCUGGAUGAUCCAAGAUGUUCUCUCGUUGAUGAUGUUCAUGACAUUGAAAAAUAUUUUCCGGCCACCCUAACUGCGAUCAGCGAGUUUUUUAGAGACUAUAAGGUCUAUGAUGGAAUACCUGGCAACAAGUUUGGUCUAGGAAACAAGCCAGCAAACAAGGUACACGGUCAAUAAUGCAAGAUCCGGAUUUGUCUUUUACUGAAUGGAUGAGUUAAAAGAUAUUCCAUUUUCCUGAUUCUGGAAAUGUCCUUUCAUAAAAGGUUUGAUUUCUUGUGAAUCAGUCAUACAACCCAUAUUCUGCUUAUUAUAUACCCUUAUCAUAAAUGCUCUAUGGCUUUUUGUUUUUGGUCUGCAUCAAUGUCUCAAGCUGCCCGAGUUCAUAGAGUGCUAAAACUCAGGUUAUCAAUCAUUUAUAUAUGGAUCACCAAACUCUAGUAAUCUAUUAAAGUUUGUCAGUAAUCUCAAGCAAGAUAUUAUGGUACAACCUGGAAACUUCCAUUCCAACUUAUAAUUAGGCUAAUGCAUUUGUUUCUAAAAGUCCAUUUAGUGGCAGCCCUUUGUUGAAAAUGCCUGCUAACAGAGAGGGAGAAAAAAUUCCCUUACCAUGUCAUUGCCUACUGAAUGUAGGUUGGGAAGAAGGGGUAAAGGAAGGGAGUGUCUUACUGUAGGUUUGAGACAAGGAGGGAGGGUUAGAACAGCCACACAAUGCUAUGUCGAGGGUAAUUUCUCUUAACAUUUUGGGGCGGAAUUUGUACUCUUUUGCUGUUGUGAAUACUUCAUUGGCAAUUUCUCUUCUUAUACUUAUGUUCUUGAGACAAAAGAAAAGUUACUUGGAAGAGAGAUUAUAACCCGCACACAUUCUUUUUUCGAGGUCAGAGGAAGGUGAUACUUAGCCCCCCCGGGGGUGGGGGUUCCCUGGUUGUACUUUUGCUCUCAAAUAUGUUUUCGUUUCUAAAUUCAUAUGAGCAUAAUGGGGAUAACUGCUAAUUGGAUGGCCAUCGGGGUGGCUAACUACUUGAUUGUGUAUCAGUCUACCCGUUCUCUUGACUUCCCUCUUGCACCUCCUUUUGGCUUUUGACCUCCCCAUUAUCCUAUCCUCCAAUGGAGACGAGAUGACUGAUGAGAGGAAAGAAGCACAUCCACCUAUUGAAGUCUUUUAUGAUGAAUGAAAAGGCUACGAGAGCAAAGAAAACAGAAAUUGGGGGACGGAAGAAGUGGAAGACAGGAGAAGAUUACGCUGUCAAGGUUAUCAGGGAAACCAAUGAAGCUUGGACUAAACUUGUCACAAGGUCUAUCUCGGCGGGUGAGCUCUCCCUUGC